rnacentral:rRNA from 1 species
AUUCAGUGAAUCAUUAAAUCUUUGAACGCACCUUGCACCUUUUGGAAUUCCUAAAGGUACACCUGUUUGAGUGUCAU